CAGUCGGGGUAAUAGGAAAUUCGAGUCUACGCAAAUUGCGGAGCUCCGAGGCUCGGCGCUAGUUUUGUUCCAAGAAAGGACGCCGCGGGGGAGUUGGGCGGCUUCUAACGCAUGCGUGCAGCUCCCUUUACCCGGUCGCCUUCCCUCCCGGCUUUGCUAGUCAGUUGCUGCGGCCCUGGGAAGGCGGAUGAGUAAUGGAAGGUCUUUUGCUUUAGCCAGGUUUCAAAUUGUCUUUCAAGUUAAAAGAAAAAAUUGUUCCAUGAAAAAAGUGGCCAUCUCAGCUGACAACUCAACCACCCACUAGUAGACCGAGAUAGCGAGAGCACUCAGCAUGCACCGGGAGACAAUGCAGACGACAAUAGACUUCAUAUGAAGGCUGGGCAGGAAAAUAUCUGGCUGUGGAUUAUAAAAAAAUGUUCUAAGAAUCAUAGAACGUUGGAAUGGAUAAGCCCUUAGAAAAGUCUCUCUUCCUCCCUUCUCAUCUACUCAGACUGUGAAGCUCCUAGAGGCAGAGAGGGAACACGUCUGUUUUUGCACGCCUCACCACAGCCUGGCCUGCUUGGCACACCAGCUGUAUGUGAAUGUUUGCUGAAUGAAGAAAUGCAUGCUCAGGGCACUGCGUGGGGCCACUGGCUGGGAAACCACAUGGAAAGAUAAAAGAGGUACACAGUCUCCGAAAAUGUAUCACGGGUCUGCAGCUUGAGGAUCGUUAUUUUGAAAUACUGUGUAGCCACCUACCUCCAAAUCGGCACCUGUCUUUCCUUCUGCCGCCGCCCUCCACCACGCAGUCUGCAGCUGAACUCGGCACUGUGAGCGUUCUCCAGGCACAGCCCCCCGGAGAGUGACAGGUGGUGGAGGUGGAGCACUUUAAAAACCAGUCUCAACAGAAUAAAAAAAAAAAAAAGACUUCAAAAAAGGGAACCAAGAUGAUUCCUGAAACAAUCUGUGCCCCACUAAAAAUAAUAACAACAAUAAUAAAUAAACUGUUGGAAGUUCAAAGAGUAAAACUAAAAUAGGGACCAGAGGAAAUCAUCUUUGUUUUUCUCCGCCAACGGCUGUGCAAACCUGAUGCUGUCUUGUUCCUUGUACCAAUCCCUCGCGGAGAAUGCCAGAGACCUCUGCCAGAGGGGCCACAGCAUUAUGUCCUAAGGGAAAUCAUUUUCUCCAACAUUUCUCAUCUUUUGUAAACAGACUUUUUUUUUUUUAGGAGAAAAACCAACAAUCCAUCAAUCAUGGAGUUCUCUAGUCCAGUAGUUUCUUUUUGGUUAAUUUUUUGCAACUAGAUUAACCAGUCCUGCUGCCAUAGAUACAUUUAAGAAAAUAAGACACUUCACUGUGUUCACAUAUAUCUGAUUAAAGCUCAAUAAGAAUAUGCCAGUAGCCUUAGGAAGAUAUCAAGUUAAAAACUUUUGUGAAAUAAAAAGCAAAGCUUAUCAAAA
rnacentral:lncRNA from 1 species